AUUGAACGCUGGCGGCAUGCCUUACACAUGCAAGUCGAACGGCAGCGGACCUUCGGGUGCCGGCGAGUGGCGAACGGGUGAGUAAUAUAUCGGAACGUACCUUUCAGUGGGGGAUUACGUAGCGAAAGUUACGCUAAUACCGCAUAUUCUGUGAGCAGGAAAGCAGGGGAUCGCAAGACCUUGCGCUGAUUGAGCGGCCGAUAUCAGAUUAGCUAGUUGGUGAGGUAAAGGCUCACCAAGGCGACGAUCUGUAGCGGGUCUGAGAGGAUGAUCCGCCACACUGGAACUGAGACACGGUCCAGACUCCUACGGGAGGCAGCAGUGGGGAAUUUUGGACAAUGGGCGCAAGCCUGAUCCAGCCAUGCCGCGUGAGUGAAGAAGGCCUUCGGGUUGUAAAGCUCUUUCGGCCGGGAAGAAAUCGCACAGGUUAAUACCCUGUGUGGAUGACGGUACCGGAAUAAGAAGCACCGGCUAACUACGUG
rnacentral:rRNA from 1 species